AACGAACGCUGGCGGCAUGCCUAACACAUGCAAGUCGAACGAGACCUUCGGGUCUAGUGGCGCACGGGUGCGUAACGCGUGGGAACCUGCCUUUAGGUUCGGAAUAACUCAGAGAAAUUUGAGCUAAUACCGGAUAAUGUCUUCGGACCAAAGAUUUAUCGCCUUUAGAUGGGCCCGCGUUGGAUUAGCUAGUUGGUGGGGUAAAGGCCUACCAAGGCGACGAUCCAUAGCUGGUCUGAGAGGAUGAUCAGCCACACUGGGACUGAGACACGGCCCAGACUCCUACGGGAGGCAGCAGUGGGGAAUAUUGGACAAUGGGCGAAAGCCUGAUCCAGCAAUGCCGCGUGAGUGAUGAAGGCCUAGGUUGUAAAGCUCUUUUACCCGAGAUGAUAAUGACAGUAUCGGGAGAAUAAGACCCCGGCUAACUCCGUGCCAGCAGCCGCGGUAAU
rnacentral:rRNA from 1 species